CUUCCAAGUACUAUUGGGCCAGACAAUGAGCCACUCUAUUUCCUGAUCUAGGGAUAAACCGGAAGCUACACAUGUCAAACUUCUCACUAAUUUUCCAGAUUUCUUCUAAAACUGACCCCAGAUAAGAUAUAUCUAUGUCCUUUUCUAUCCCUCUAUUGAGCUUGCGAAUAACAGCUUCACAAUCACUUUCAAAGAUCAUAUGUUUAAGAUCAGAUGUCAGCGCAAGGUGCAUGGCUGCGAGAAUGGCAUAGGCCUCGGCAGUAGCUGCACAGUUGAAACCAUUUCUGCUCCACGUUGCGGAGGUCAUAGCUUGACCUGCAGAAUUGUGAAUAAUGCACCCCAAACCCCACCUGCCUUGCAUUUGUGAUCCUGAGUAGUUGGUGGUGGCUCAAGUGUCUAGGGCUCUGAUACAUUUGGGAUGGGUUUACUUUAAUUAUGUUUCAUUCCUUAUGUAUCAUAUUUUGAAACUUGAUGUUGUAGCCCUUUUUUUUAGUGGUUGAAUUUAUGUUGUUGAGGCUUUUGUGCCAAGGAUUAUCAUGGAGAAUUAAACAGUUAAUGUUGUUGCUCUUAAUGCAAAUAUUCCGCUGCAGAUUAUUGAGGUUUAAUUAAAUA